UGUGUGCACAGAGCUGCAGCUCAGCGAUGGCACUCCCGGGACUGAGAUGAAAGCGUCUCGCUCCAGGAAGGAAGCGCACAGCACAUGGGCCAGCUCUCCCAAGGCGCGUCUGGAGGUCGGAAGUCUGGAGUGUGUCUCACUGGGCUGAAGUCAAGGUCGUCCUCAAGGCAGCGUUCCUUCUGGAGGUUUUCUGGGAGACUCGACCUUGCCUUUUCCAGUUUCUAGAGGCCACAGGAAUCUUUAACUCGGGGCUCCUUCCUCCAUCUUCAAAGCAAGCGGCUCCGGCUGAGUCCUUUGUCCAGUCUCCCUGGCUCUCUCCCUACCUUCCUCUCCCACAAGGAAGCAUCUUGUGAUCCUGGGUCCACCUGGAUAAUCCAGGCUACUCUCUCUCCCUGUUUGAAGCUGUAACAAACCACCCUGAACUUGGAUGGCGGAAAACAAUGGAAUGGAAUUCUCUCAGUGCAGGAGGCCAGAAGCCAGAAACCCCGGUGUCGGCGGUUUGGCUC
ensembl:lncRNA